rnacentral:rRNA from 1 species
CUCAAUGAAUUGACGGGAGGGCGCACAAGCGGUGGAUGAUGUGGUUUAAUUCGAUGCAACGCGAAAAACCUUACCCACCUUUGACAUGUACGGAAUCCUUUAGAGAUAGAGGAGUGCUCGAAAGAGAGCCGUAACACAGGUGCUGCAUGGCUGUCGUCAGCUCGUGUCGUGAGAUGUUGGGUUAAGUCCCGCAACGAGCGCAACCCUUGCCAUUAGUUGCUACGAAAGGGCACUCUAAUGGGACUGCCGGUGACAAACCGGAGGAAGGUGGGGAUGACGUCAAGUCCUCAUGGCCCUUAUAGGUGGGGCUACACACGUCAUACAAUGGCUGGUACAGAGGGUUGCCAACCCGCGAGGGGGAGCCAAUCCCACAAAGCCAGUCGUAGUCCGGAUCGCAGUCUGCAACUCGACUGCGCGAAGUCGGAAUCGCUAGUAAUCGCGGAUCAGAAUGUCGCGGUGAAUACGUUCCCGCCUCUUGUACACACCGCCCG